UACGUAGGGUGCGAGCGUUAAUCGGAAUUACUGGGCGUAAAGCGCGCGCAGGCGGUUUUGUAAGCCAGAUGUGAAAGCCCCGGGCUCAACCUGGGAAUGGCAUUUGGGACUGCAAGGCUUGAGUGCGGCAGAGGAGACUGGAAUUCCUGGUGUAGCAGUGAAAUGCGUAGAUAUCAGGAGGAAUACCGAUGGCGAAGGCAGGUCUCUGGGCUGACACUGACGCUCAUGCACGAAAGCGUGGGGAGCAAACAGG
rnacentral:rRNA from 1 species